rnacentral:lncRNA from 1 species
AGGGGGACAAAGAGAAAUAUUCAAGUACAUGUUAAGAAAAGCACACUAAAAACAGGCCCCCAUGAGGGGGACAUUCAUGACACCUAUCAGGUAGGCCCGCGUGAGAGAAAAUGACGAAGGUCGGUUAGGGAAAGGACAGGGAACGCACGACCAACACGUUGUCUGCGUCCCCGACGGCAGUGAGCGGCAGGUGCAGCAGAGCGACCAGUAGAAGAAAAUUCAAUAGCGAGCGACCAGCACGCAGUUACAGGAAGUUCAAAUGGAGCAGCACGAUUCUCAACCAUAACAACAUCACUCUCAACCUGUCGAAGAACAGAAAGGUGUCGC